rnacentral:rRNA from 1 species
AGAGAGAGACAUGCGCGCAUAUCAAUAAGCGGAGGAAAAGAAACUAACAAGGAUUCCCUUAGUAACGGCGAGUGAAGCGGGAAGAGCUCAAAUUUGAAAUCUUCAAGGUUUUACCUUGACGAAUUGUAGUUUAAAGAAGUGUUUUCUGCUGAAGUUUUGGUAAAAGUUCUUUGGAAUAGGACAUCAUAGAGGGUGAGAAUCCCGUAUUUGACCAUUAUUUUCAGCUUUGUGAUACACUUUCAAAGAGUCGGAUUGUUUGGGAAUGCAGUCCAAAAUGGGUGGUAAAUUUCGAUCUAAAGCUAAAUAUUGGCGAGAGACCGAUAGCGAACAAGUACCGUGAGGGAAGGAUGAAAAGAACUUUGAAAAGAGAGUUAAACAGUACGUGAAAUUGUCAAAAGGGAAGCGUUUGAUACCAGUGUUGUUUUCUCGAAAAUCAAUUAAAAAUGGCUCGAUUUUGUAUUGCUGAGACCUUAAAAGCUCACUGUACAUUUUUUCGUGUCUUUUUUAAUGCACUUUUCGUUUAACAAGUCAACAUCAGUUUCUUUUGUUGUAAAAGGGUCAUUGGAAGGUGGCUUUCUUUUCGGAGAAAGUGUUUAUAGCCUUUGGCCUCUGCAAUCGGAAGAGACUGAGGUCUGCAGCGUAGACUCUUCGGGGUUAGAUACAUUUGUGCUAAGUUAUAGCUUUUUAUAGACAACUUGUUGACUAUAAUUAGUCUUGUAGCUUACUCGCUUAUGCUAUUUUACCUACGCUUAGGAUGUUGAAGAUGUAGCACAUCAU